GUAUUACUGAUUUUAUUGAUCUUCCAAAAUAAGUGACGUUUUGCUUGAAUUCCAAUUGGAACAUAACAAACAUCUUGUUGGUUCGCUUGUACCUUUGUAUAUAAAUUUUUCCUGUGACCAGACGAAAAGACUAGCCGGCGGUAAAAGUUCAAGUAGCCGGGGGACUCCGGCGGCCGCCGGCUUAUUCUGAAACCCCUGUCAUAUGUUGGUACCGUAACCUAAUUUCCACUCCUCACCAUUUUGCAACGUACUUGUCACAGCCCCCCCCCCCACCAGUAGUAUUUUAACGAGAGGUGAA